rnacentral:lncRNA from 1 species
ACUCGUUUUCACUGCCUCCGCUCUCAUGCCGCUGCUGCAACCUUAUCUUGGCAGCCCGAAUCCAUUUGAGAUAAUGCCGACAAGGCAGGCACGCAAGCGUCAUGGUCGCAUUUUUAUUUUCUACACGGCGCCGUAGAAGCCGCCGAAGAACGUUGCCUACGUACAACGACAGCACAGAACGGGACGUGACCUAUUUGGCCGGCGCCGGCACACAGCUUCACAAACUUGUUGACGGCGCGGUAUAGGUUCACCCUAUACAAAAACAUGCACGCGCCAUACUGGAAAUAGAUCUUGUAUCGCAUUGGUGUAAUUUUAUGCGCGCCCUCUUUUGUAGCGUGCGAUUUUGUGCUCUUGCCUCGUUACUGUAUAACUUUCGUGGUGCUAUAUCACGGUCGGCUUUUGCGUUGUUACUUCACCCGCUCGUGUCCUAUUUUUAGUGCGACAGCAGUUAGCUCCUCUCAAACGUGUUUGUUGAUAUACAUCAUUUAAAGCCUACUAUGAGUGCGGUCAUCAUCGAGUCGUUGUCGUAAGGCCUCCUCAUAUAUUCAAAGCAUGCAUAUAUAAUAUCCGUCCAUGUGGACUCUGACAGUCAACAACUAUAGAUGAUGCUAAUCGAUCGAACACGUGUAAACAGAACACAGAGCUGGCGAGCUUCAAAGCGAGGAGGAAAGAAUGUGCAAACACCGGACGUUUUUUAACAAGAAUAAGCUUCGAGAAAAAACGUGGUAUUGCGAAAACAGACGCGCGUGAUCACGAAAAGUGUGCGGACGCUGGCCAUUCCGACGCAGAGGUUGCAGGCACCUUCGGAGGCUCCCGGAAAGCGGCUACGCCGUAGGCUGCAAUGGCAGCCGGCCUUCGCUCCAUUUCUGUGGCAUGAGGCGGCCCGUGCUCCCAAGAUAGCGCGCCCUGGCCUGGCGCCGCGCCAAAGGGGCGGGCGGCUGCAGAUAAGGGCCCGCUAUAAAGGGAGGCCCCGUGCGCUCAGACCUCCUUUGGUGGUUUGCGCUCCCGUGGUGGCUCUCCUGGAUGAUUGGCUCUCUCCUGGAUUACCGUUCGUGUCGGCGACAUUUGCUCCCGUCGUGGCCCGCUCUCGCCGUGGAUCUACGGGCACAUUAGCUCUGUCGCUGACGCCAAAUUCUGCCUCAAACGUCUCGAUGCUCUGCGAUGCUCGCGCCACGUUCCUAACGGACAUGUGAAAACUGUCGUGACGCAAGCUAGCUUCGCUCGAUCUUGGACUAAACAAACGUAUCGGCCGUUCUGCACAGCAUAUGUGCCCGCCGCUUAUUGCCCGUUGCUUCCGUCACCGCCGUUUGACUCGCUGCAUUACACGAGGCCGCGUUCUGCCACGUUUUCUAUCGUUUUUGCUGUCGCUGCGGUUGGUAGCAGCCGAACUCCGUUCGGAAGCGUCGUGCUGUUUUUGGAGACUGCUGACGAAGCGCGCAGCGGCGCCUUUCUUUAGACGACCUUUGCGAUGCCCUCGCGGCAGAACUGCGCCGUCGCAAUCAAGGCCGCCGCUGAUAACGCGACUUCACGAGCGUCACGAUCGCCUCGAGGUGGCAGGGUUAUCAACGGACUUUCGGGAGGUCGAGUGAACGAACCGGAGAGCGGGCUCAAGCACGCGCCUCUGCGAGAUAAGCCACGCGGAAGAUACGCGCGUCAUGCGCUGCUGCGUCACUGGAAACAAACAAGGAUCGCUAAAUCGGGAGGCGUUGGCCACAAGAGCUUUUCCUCCACUCCAGGCCAGAUGAUCGCGCUCGAACUGCUUGAGCCUACCGCAGUUGAGGGCAAACGAACAGCUCGUACAGAUAACCCUCGGCUCUUCGUGGAACGCGUGACCAGAAAUAAAGGAACGGCCG